GGGCUUCGACGUGAAUAACACUUGGUCAUGGCUGACAUUCGGAUCAGUUUCACAGCCGGUUUCACGGGGCCAAGCUGCGGGCGCGGAGCCAACGUUGGAAUGGAAGCAGCAACCGCCCGGCGGCCUUUUGGCGCAGGUUGGGGCGCCGUGGGAUUUGCCUGGUGCAAGGAGCUUCCCAGCGGAGGCGCCUUGGAGGCUGGAGCGGUCUGCUCGGGUGAGGCAACCCCACAGAAGGGGGAGCUCCCUACCAUCUACGGGGACGUCGGCUAUAGGGAGCGGGGCAGAUCAGCGAGGAGCACCACCGGCCGAACAUACGAGUGCAACCAAGAAGGCCACAUGAGCCGGGACUGUCCUACUGCUCACUGUGGGGGACGACGAGGUUGCAUCAGGUGUGGCGAGGAAGGCCACAUGAGUAGGGAUUGAAUGCAGACACGUAGGCGCGCCACGCCCAGGUGUGGGCCGCUACACUUCAUGUGUGGCGAAAUUAGAAGUUUUGUGUGUAUUUUGUGACUUUUGUAUCGUUUCAUAUAAAAAAAAUUUUAGAAUUUC